ACGGAGGGGGCUAGCGUUGUUCGGAAUUACUGGGCGUAAAGCGCACGUAGGCGGCUACUCAAGUCGGGGGUGAAAGCCCGGGGCUCAACCCCGGAACUGCCCCCGAAACUAGGUAGCUAGAAUCUUGGAGAGGCGAGUGGAAUUCCGAGUGUAGAGGUGAAAUUCGUAGAUAUUCGGAGGAACACCAGUGGCGAAGGCGGCUCACUGGUCCGGUACUGACGCUGAGGUGCGAAAGCGUGGGGAGCAAACAGGA
rnacentral:rRNA from 1 species